rnacentral:rRNA from 1 species
GGGUUGUGAGGUUAAGCGACUAAGCGUACACGGUGGAUGCCCUGGCAGUCAGAGGCGAUGAAGGACGUGCUAAUCUGCGAUAAGCGUCGGUAAGGUGAUAUGAACCGAUAUAACCGGCGAUUUCCGAAUGGGGAAACCCAGUGUGUUUCGACACACUAUCAUUAACUGAAUCCAUAGGUUAAUGAGGCGAACCGGGGGAACUGAAACAUCUAAGUACCCCGAGGAAAAGAAAUCAACCGAGAUUCCCCCAGUAGCGGCGAGCGAACGGGGAGCAGCCCAGAGCCUGAAUCAGUGUGUGUGUUAGUGGAAGCGUCUGGAAAGGCGCGCGAUACAGGGUGACAGCCCCGUACACAAAAAUGCACAUGCUGUGAGCUCGAUGAGUAGGGCGGGACACGUGGUAUCCUGUCUGAAUAUGGGGGGACCAUCCUCCAAGGCUAAAUACUCCUGACUGACCGAUAGUGAACCAGUACCGUGAGGGAAAGGCGAAAAGAACCCCGGCGAGGGGAGUGAAAAAGAACCUGAAACCGUGUACGUACAAGCAGUGGGAGCACGCUUAGGCGUGUGACUGCGUACCUUUUGUAUAAUGGGUCAGCGACUUAUAUUCUGUAGCAAGGUUAACCGAAUAGGGGAGCCGAAGGGAAACCGAGUCUUAACUGGGCGUUAAGUUGCAGGGUAUAGACCCGAAACCCGGUGAUCUAGCCAUGGGCAGGUUGAAGGUUGGGUAACACUAACUGGAGGACCGAACCGACUAAUGUUGAAAAAUUAGCGGAUGACUUGUGGCUGGGGGUGAAAGGCCAAUCAAACCGGGAGAUAGCUGGUUCUCCCCGAAAGCUAUUUAGGUAGCGCCUCGUGAAUUCAUCUCCGGGGGUAGAGCACUGUUUCGGCAAGGGGGUCAUCCCGACUUACCAACCCGAUGCAAACUGCGAAUACCGGAGAAUGUUAUCACGGGAGACACACGGCGGGUGCUAACGUCCGUCGUGAAGAGGGAAACAACCCAGACCGCCAGCUAAGGUCCCAAAGUCAUGGUUAAGUGGGAAACGAUGUGGGAAGGCCCAGACAGCCAGGAUGUUGGCUUAGAAGCAGCCAUCAUUUAAAGAAAGCGUAAUAGCUCACUGGUCGAGUCGGCCUGCGCGGAAGAUGUAACGGGGCUAAACCAUGCACCGAAGCUGCGGCAGCGACGCUUAUGCGUUGUUGGGUAGGGGAGCGUUCUGUAAGCCUGUGAAGGUGUGCUGUGAGGCAUGCUGGAGGUAUCAGAAGUGCGAAUGCUGACAUAAGUAACGAUAAAGCGGGUGAAAAGCCCGCUCGCCGGAAGACCAAGGGUUCCUGUCCAACGUUAAUCGGGGCAGGGUGAGUCGACCCCUAAGGCGAGGCCGAAAGGCGUAGUCGAUGGGAAACAGGUUAAUAUUCCUGUACUUGGUGUUACUGCGAAGGGGGGACGGAGAAGGCUAUGUUGGCCGGGCGACGGUUGUCCCGGUUUAAGCGUGUAGGCUGGUUUUCCAGGCAAAUCCGGAAAAUCAAGGCUGAGGCGUGAUGACGAGGCACUACGGUGCUGAAGCAACAAAUGCCCUGCUUCCAGGAAAAGCCUCUAAGCAUCAGGUAACAUCAAAUCGUACCCCAAACCGACACAGGUGGUCAGGUAGAGAAUACCAAGGCGCUUGAGAGAACUCGGGUGAAGGAACUAGGCAAAAUGGUGCCGUAACUUCGGGAGAAGGCACGCUGAUAUGUAGGUGAAGCGACUUGCUCGUGGAGCUGAAAUCAGUCGAAGAUACCAGCUGGCUGCAACUGUUUAUUAAAAACACAGCACUGUGCAAACACGAAAGUGGACGUAUACGGUGUGACGCCUGCCCGGUGCCGGAAGGUUAAUUGAUGGGGUUAGCGCAAGCGAAGCUCUUGAUCGAAGCCCCGGUAAACGGCGGCCGUAACUAUAACGGUCCUAAGGUAGCGAAAUUCCUUGUCGGGUAAGUUCCGACCUGCACGAAUGGCGUAAUGAUGGCCAGGCUGUCUCCACCCGAGACUCAGUGAAAUUGAACUCGCUGUGAAGAUGCAGUGUACCCGCGGCAAGACGGAAAGACCCCGUGAACCUUUACUAUAGCUUGACACUGAACAUUGAGCCUUGAUGUGUAGGAUAGGUGGGAGGCUUUGAAGUGUGGACGCCAGUCUGCAUGGAGCCGACCUUGAAAUACCACCCUUUAAUGUUUGAUGUUCUAACGUUGACCCGUAAUCCGGGUUGCGGACAGUGUCUGGUGGGUAGUUUGACUGGGGCGGUCUCCUCCUAAAGAGUAACGGAGGAGCACGAAGGUUGGCUAAUCCUGGUCGGACAUCAGGAGGUUAGUGCAAUGGCAUAAGCCAGCUUGACUGCGAGCGUGACGGCGCGAGCAGGUGCGAAAGCAGGUCAUAGUGAUCCGGUGGUUCUGAAUGGAAGGGCCAUCGCUCAACGGAUAAAAGGUACUCCGGGGAUAACAGGCUGAUACCGCCCAAGAGUUCAUAUCGACGGCGGUGUUUGGCACCUCGAUGUCGGCUCAUCACAUCCUGGGGCUGAAGUAGGUCCCAAGGGUAUGGCUGUUCGCCAUUUAAAGUGGUACGCGAGCUGGGUUUAGAACGUCGUGAGACAGUUCGGUCCCUAUCUGCCGUGGGCGCUGGAGAACUGAGGGGGGCUGCUCCUAGUACGAGAGGACCGGAGUGGACGCAUCACUGGUGUUCGGGUUGUCAUGCCAAUGGCACUGCCCGGUAGCUAAAUGCGGAAGAGAUAAGUGCUGAAAGCAUCUAAGCACGAAACUUGCCCCGAGAUGAGUUCUCCCUGACCCUUUAAGGGUCCUGAAGGAACGUUGAAGACGACGACGUUGAUAGGCCGGGUGUGUAAGCGCAGCGAUGCGUUGAGCUAACCGGUACUAAUGAACCGUGAGGCUUAACCUUACAACGCCGAAGCUGUU